rnacentral:rRNA from 1 species
CCGGGUGAGUAACACGUAUCCAACCUGCCGUCUACUCUUGGCCAGCCUUCUGAAAGGAAGAUUAAUCCAGGAUGGCAUCAUGAGUUCACAUGUCCGCAUGAUUAAAGGUAUUUUCCGGUAGACGAUGGGGAUGCGUUCCAUUAGAUAGUAGGCGGGGUAACGGCCCACCUAGUCAACGAUGGAUAGGGGUUCUGAGAGGAAGGUCCCCCACAUUGGGACUGAGACACGGCCCAG